rnacentral:rRNA from 1 species
GAUGAACGCUGGCGGCGUGCUUAACACAUGCAAGUCGAACGGGAAAUACUUUAUUGAAGCUUCGGCCGAUUUGAUUUAUUUCUAGUGGCGGACGGGUGAGUAACGCGUGGGUAACCUGCCUUAUACUGGGGGAUAACAGCCAGAAAUGACUGCUAAUACCGCAUAAGCGCACAGAACCGCAUGGUUCCGUGUGAAAAACUCCGGUGGUAUAAGAUGGACCCGCGUUGGAUUAGCUAGUUGGCAGGGCAGCGGCCUACCAAGGCGACGAUCCAUAGCCGGCCUGAGAGGGUGAACGGCCACAUUGGGACUGAGACACGGCCCAGACUCCUACGGGAGGCAGCAGUGGGGAAUAUUGCACAAUGGGGGAAACCCUGAUGCAGCGACGCCGCGUGAAGGAAGAAGUAUCUCGGUAUGUAAACUUCUAUCAGCAGGGAAGAUAAUGACGGUACCUGACUAAGAAGCC